ACGAACGCUGGCGGCAUGCUUCAGACAUGCAAGUCGAACGAGAUCUUCGGAUCUAGUGGCGCACGGGUGAGUAACGCGUGGGAACCUACCUUUUAGUAUGGGACAACGUUUGGAAACGAACGCUAAUACCGUAUACGCCCUCCGGGGGAAAGGUCCGCCGCUGAAAGAGGGGCCCGCGUCUGAUUAGCUUGUUGGUAGGGUAACGGCUUACCAAGGCUACGAUCUGUAGUUGGUCUGAGAGGAUGAUCAGCCACACUGGGACUGAGACACGGCCCAGACUCCUACGGGAGGCAGCAGUGGGGAAUAUUGGACAAUGGGGGCAACCCUGAUCCAGCAAUGCCGCGUGUGUGAUGAAGGCCCUAGGGUUGUAAAGCACUUUCAACGGUGACGAUGAUGACGGUAACCGUAGAAGAAGCCCCGGCUAACUUCGUGCCAGCAGCCGCGGUAAUACGAAGGGGGCGAGCGUUGUUCGGAAUUACUGGGCGUAAAGAGUUCGUAGGUGGUUAAAAAAGAUGGUGGUGAAAUCCCAGAGCUUAACUCUGGAACUGCCAUCAAAACUUUUUAGCUAGAGUAUGAUAGAGGAAAGCAGAAUUUCUAGUGUAGAGGUGAAAUUCGUAGAUAUUAGAAAGAAUACCGAUUGCGAAGGCAGCUUUCUGGAUCAUUACUGACACUGAGGAACGAAAGCAUGGGUAGCGAAGAGGAUUAGAUACCCUCGUAGUCCAUGCCGUAAACGAUGUGUGUUAGACGUUGGAAAUUUAUUUUCAGUGUCGCAGCGAAAGCGAUAAACACACCGCCUGGGGAGUACGACCGCAAGGUUAAAACUCAAAUGAAUUGACGGGGACCCGCACAAGUAGUGGAGCAUGUGGUUUAAUUCGAAGAUACGCGCAGAACCUUACCAACACUUGACAUGUUCGUCGCGACUUUAAGAGAUUAAAGUUUUCGGUUCGGCCGGACGAAACACAGGUGCUGCAUGGCUGUCGUCAGCUCGUGUCGUGAGAUGUUGGGUUAAGUCCCGCAACGAGCGCAACCCUUACUUUUAGUUGCCAUCAUUAAGUUGGGCACUCUGAAAGAACUGCCAGUGAUAAGCUGGAGGAAGGUGGGGAUGACGUCAAGUCCUCAUGGCCCUUACGUGUUGGGCUACACACGUGCUACAAUGGUAUCUACAACAGGAAGCGAAACAGCGAUGUUAAGCAAAUCCUUAAAAGAUACCUCAGUUCGGAUUGCACUCUGCAACUCGAGUGCAUGAAGCUGGAAUUACUAGUAAUCGUGGAUCAGCGUGCCACGGUGAAUGCGUUCCCGGGUCUUGUACACACCGCCCGUCACACCAUGGGAGUUGGUUCUACCUUAAGGCAAGGUUUAAUACCCUUGACCACGGUAUAGUCAGCGACUGGGGUGAAGUCGUAACAAGGUAGCCGUA
rnacentral:rRNA from 1 species